rnacentral:tRNA from 1 species
CGGGGUGUAGCGCAGCUUGGCUAGCGCGUCUGCUUUGGGAGCAGAAGGUCGCCGGUUCGAAUCCGGCCUCCCCGA